UUCCAGACUCCUACGGGAGGCAGCAGUGGGGAAUAUUGCACAAUGGGGGAAACCCUGAUGCAGCAACGCCGCGUGAGUGAGGAAGUAUUUCGGUAUGUAAAGCUCUAUCAGCAGGGAAUAGAAAAGAAGGUACCUGAAAAAGAAGCCCCGGCUAACUACGUGCCAGCAGCCGCGGUAAUACGUAGGGGGCAAGCGUUAUCCGGAUUUACUGGGUGUAAAGGGAGCGUAGACGGAAAGGCAAGUCAGAAGUGAAAGCCCAAGGCUCAACCAUGGGACUGCUCUGGAAACUGUGGAGCUUGAGUGCGGGAGGGGCGGGCGGAAUUCCUAGUGUAGCGGUGAAAUGCGUAGAUAUUAGGAGGAACACCGGCGGCGAAGGCGGCCUGCUGGACCGUAACUGACGUUGAGGCUCGAAAGCGUGGGGAGCAAACAGGAUUAGAUACCCGUGUAA
rnacentral:rRNA from 1 species